AGCGAACGCUGGCGGUAGGCCUAACACAUGCAAGUCGAACGGCAGCACAGUAAGAGCUUGCUCUUACGGGUGGCGAGUGGCGGACGGGUGAGGAAUACAUCGGAAUCUACUUUUUCGUGGGGGAUAACGUAGGGAAACUUACGCUAAUACCGCAUACUACCUACGGGUGAAAGCAGGGGAUCUUCGUACCUUGCGCGAUUGAAUGAGCCGAUGUCGGAUUAGCUAGUUGGCGGGGUAAAGGCCCACCAAGCCGACGAUCCGUAGCUGGUCUGAGAGGAUGAUCAGCCACACUGGAACUGAGAAACGGUCCAGACUCCUACGGGAGGCAGCAGUGGGGAAUAUUGGACAAUGGGCGCAAGCCUGAUCCAGCCAUACCGCGUGGGUGAAGAAGGCCUUCGGGUUGUAAAGCCCUUUUGUUGGGAAAGAAAAGCAGCAGGUUAAUACCCCGCUGUUCUGACGGUACCCAAAGAAUAAGCACCGGCUAACUUCGUG
rnacentral:rRNA from 1 species